AGAAGAAGAAGAGGAUUUAAUCCUGAUGGAGCUCAUCGUCCCACUCAGAUCAACAGAAAACUCUUUUUCCACACAGACCUGGUCCAGACAGCAGAGAGCUGCAGAGUGUUGAAGUUCAUGAGAAGAAACUGAGUGGCUGCAGGUUAUCACCAACAUGAAAAGGAUCCAUCAAAGACCAGAGUCCCCUGGACCUGAACCUGAACCCAGCUGUGUUUCCUCUGAGACUAAGCAGUCACACAAAGAUGGCAUUGAUUUUGAAAGACGUAAAUUCUCUUCUGCAAAGUAAGUAGAAAUUAAAUAAAAAAUGUACCUGACAGCUUCCCAGUAUAAUUGAUCUUCUACUGCUGAUAUUCAAGUA